UACGUAGGUGGCAAGCGUUAUCCGGAAUUAUUGGGCGUAAAGCGCGCGCAGGCGGUUUCUUAAGUCUGAUGUGAAAGCCCACGGCUCAACCGUGGAGGGUCAUUGGAAACUGGGGAACUUGAGUGCAGAAGAGAAAAGCGGAAUUCCACGUGUAGCGGUGAAAUGCGUAGAGAUGUGGAGGAACACAGUGGCGAAGGCGGCUUUUGGUCUGUAACUGACGCUGAGGCGCGAAAGCGUGGGAGCAA
rnacentral:rRNA from 1 species